CCUCACCGGGCCCACAGCUCUCUCCCGAGCAGCCCCGAGGGAUCCCAGGUGGGUCCGGGGCCGGGGAGCGGGUGGGGGUCCGGGCCACCCCCCGGGAGGUGGGGGGAGGGGCGCCGGGAUUGACAGUCGGUAAUUGGGUAACUGGAGGCGGCUUCUCCUGCCGGGCGGCCCCGCCACCGCGACGCCGGGCCCCUGACGUCACCCGAUUCGCCAGGAAAUGAACUUUUUAAUAAUCCGAGGAGGGAGGAAAGCCCUCGGUCCCCUCGGCUCCGGGGGCGCCGGGCCAGGCCCCGCUCCGCGGGCGCGCCCCCGGCACCCAGUCCCUGGCCAACGCCGAGCAGCGCCCCCGGGGCGCGGGGCCGGGCCGGGGCUUCCUGCCGCGUCUGCGUCCGGAGGUCCGAGCGUCCGCCCGUCCGAGGCCCGGGCUCAGGUAGAGGCGCGGGACCGGGGGCAGAGCAGAGGGCCUCGCCCGGCCGGGACCCCGCGCGUCCCGGCGCCGCAGGGCUGCGCUCGGCUGGGGCGUGCGGGGCCGGGGCCUGGCGGAGCGCGGCGCGGCGGGCGAGGAGGCCGGCGUCCGCCCGGGACGGCGCGCCCGAGCCGGCGGCAGCAGCGGGAGCCCGGGGCGCGGGCCUCGGCGGCCGAGCAGGCAGGGUCACACCCAGCUUUGCACUCAGGAAUUACUCCUGGCAGUUCUUGGGAGACCAUAUGGGAUGCCGGGGAUUGAACCCAGGGUGGCGAGAGGGUUUCAUACUCCAGGAGCUGGAGAGAGCAUGCAAUGAGAACAUGCCUUGCUCGUGGAAGGCCCAAGUUCACGUCCCUGGACUGCAGGCAUGCACUUGCACGCACACGCACAUCCCUGCGCCUUCCGGGAAGCCGCCGGGAGGAAGCCCCAUGCCCAGGGUUUGGAGUCGCCCAUAAGCACUGCCAGGUGUGGAAACCCACAAAAAAUUAAUUUAUGAUCCAUGUUUUGUAAACUAGCCACCCGGGUCUUAGGGGGCCAUGCCAUGACGGGUUAUGACCAAUGUUUCCGAGGACGGGGAUUCAGAGAAGGAGCCUCCGUUCCCGUUUCCCUUGGGGAAGGGACACUGGCCACCCCAGGCCCCAUCCCUGCAUGGCAAGGCAAUGUUGAAGCUCUAAAUCGCAGAGCCUGGGGACAGACGUGUGCUCCCUGUACUUCUGUACCCCCUCCAUGUACCCCCUCCAUGCACCCCCCACAACAGUCCCGGGGGCUGUCCAUGUGCUUUAUGAGUUUACAGGUGCCCUGAAGUAUUGAUUUGCCUUUUCUUCUCUAGGUUUGGUUUGGUUGUUUUUUUUUUGUUUGGUGGGGAGCCACACCCCUGGUUCUGUGCUCAGGGAUCACUCCUAGGGGGGUUGGGGGGGAACGUGUGUGGUGCCAGGGGUCAAACUCAGGUCGACUGCCAGCAGGGUAAGCCCCUUACUCACGGCACCGUCUCUCCUGCGAGCCCUCGCUUCCCGGUUCGCUUUGCAGGAACUUGCGAUCGUGUUUCUCCCUCCAGGUCGUAAACCACUUAGCAAUUUCUUAGUUAAUGAGCGAGAAGCUGGGGCACCAAAGGAAAGCAGACUCGGCAUCAGAGAUUCUGUUUCUCGCCACCCGAAGGAUGAACGCUCAGGAUGCCGGGCGGAGGAGAGGCGCUCCCCUGAACAGGAGGGCUGCGACGGAAAGAGAUCCCAGGAACCAAGAGGGAAAAAAUGCCACGGGGAAACAGGCGGGGCGUGUGGACCCCAGAAAAGGAGGAACAGGGCUCUCCAAGGCAACAUGCUCAGCCUGAGAAAGGAGAUGUCACAUGUAUUCAACAUGGAUGUGUUUGGGCAAGGACCGUGCUCUGAGAUUAGGCUGCGUAUUUGCUAACGCUCACUCAAAGAGGCAGAAAGCAAUAGACUGUUACUGUCAUACUGGUCCCUUCUUUAUCCUAACUGUCCUUUGCCCCCACACGCUUGUGGCAAGCGUCCAACCACUGACCAGUCCUCCUCCUGGCUCUGUUUCCCCUGGCCUGGGAUAUUAGUCUCAUACUUUUUGUUGUUUUUUGAUGCAGUCUUUAUUUACCUGCCCUCUCCUUCUCACUCAUUUCACUCAGCAUGAUACUCUCCAUGUCCAUCAUUUAUAAGCAAGUUUUAUGACAUCAUCUUUCCUAACAGCUAUGUGGUAUUUCAUUGUGUAGAUAUACCACAGGUUCUUUCUCCAGUCGUGUGUUCUUGGGCACUCUAGAGAAGAAUUGAGUGUUGAAAGUAGGUAAAGGGAUAUACAUGAUAACAUUUCAGUGUCCAUAUUGCAAACAGAAAAAGAAAGAGAGAGAGAGAGAGAGAGAGAGAGAGAGAGAGAGAGAGAGAGAGAGAGAAGAAAAUUACCUGCCAUGGAGCAUAGAAGUAGGAGUAGGGUGGGAGGGAAACUGGGGACACUGGUGGUGGGAAAUGUACACUGGUGAAGAGACGGGUGUUGGAACAUUGUAUGACUGAAGCCCAAUCACAAAUGACUUUGUGACUGUGUAUCUGAUUGUGAUUCGAUUAAAAACAAGUAAAUAAAAAAAUAAAAUAAAAGCAGCAGAGUAUACGGGAGGUGACUUUAUACCACAGGACAACUGCUGAGAGGUAGUGGAGAAACUGAAUCAUUGAUUUAUACCAAUGAGUAUAAAUGCAAAGUACUGGAUUUGGGCCUGAGAAACGGUCCAGAUGCUAAGGCACUUACUUUGCACACAGCCACGCCUGGGCCACUCACCUGCAUCACAGAUAGUCCUCUGAGCACCGCCAGGAGCGAUCCCUGAGCACAGAGCCAGGAGUAAGUCAAACACCACUGGGUGUGGGAGCCCCCCUCCAAGAAAAAACCCCAGCAACUAAAAAAUAGGCACAGACUUGAUACUA